GGAUUCCCCUAGUAACGGCGAGUGAAGCGGGAUGAGCUCAAGCUUAAAAUCUCUGUCACAUAUUUAUUAUGUGCGGCGAAUUGUAGUCUAUAGAAGCGUGGUCAGUGUAGGCACUUGAGAUAAGUUCCUUGAAAAAGGACAGCAUGGAGGGUGAAACUCCCGUUCAUACUUGAGUAGCUUAUGCGUACGACCCGUUUUCUUUGAGUCGCGUUGUUUGAGAAUGCAGCGCAAAGUAGGUGGUAAAUUCCAUCUAAAGCUAAAUAUUGGUGCGAGACCGAUAGCGAACAAGUACCGUGAGGGAAAGAUGAAAAGAACUUUGAAAAGAGAGUUAAAGAGUACCUGAAACUGCUGAAAGGGAACCGGAUCGUUUCUAGUGUCUAUAAUCUGUGACAUAUUUCAUUGGGGAGUGUGUGCGUGUGUAUACUAUGGCAGUGGCUUUUUUGGCUGCGCUUGGUGUGCGUGCUGUAUGUGCUUACUGGUGCCCUGUGUUGCGGUGGGACGUCAAGGUCGGUUUGUAUACUGCGGGAAAUGGCUAUUGAGGAGGUAGGGCUUACGCUUGCGUUUGUCUAUUAUAUCUUGGUAGUUGUGUCGUGGUUGAGACUGAGGUGUCUACAACGUGCUUAUGAGUGGGACUGUGUCUCCGUGUGCGCCGUGUGCGGAUAGCUUGCUAUGUGUGUGUGGUGGUGUGUGGAUUGAUGCGGGCUUUAACUUGUUGCCGUUCGGGACGUUGGCGAAAUAGAGCGAUUUGACCCGUCUUGAAACACGGACCAAGGAGUCUAACAUGUGUGCAAGUGUUAGGGUGUGGAAACCCAAGCGCGAAAUGAAAGUAAAGGAUAGUGUAAACUGUCUGAGGUAGGAAAUGCUGCGGAUUUCGGUCUGUGGCGUGGCACUAUCGACCGAUCAUGAACCUUCGUGGUGAAAGAUUUGAGUUUGAGCACAUAUGUUGGUACCCGAAAGAUGGUGAACUAUGCCUGAGUAGGGUGAAGCCAG
rnacentral:rRNA from 1 species